AAACAGCCUUAUAGGAUUAAUUUGUGGAAUAUUGUCACGUUCCGUCUGUUCUCUAAUACCUUUGUUCUUUAGUUGAGCGCUAGAUGGCUUCGCGGCGACCUGACUUUACUCUUUAACCCCUUUUUCCCUUAGCAGAUUGUGUCGGCAUGCACUCUUUUGGGCGAGUUACCAAAAGGACUCCAGGGUAAACCACUUUUGGUUGCAGGUUUCCGACACUUGGACAUCUGGCACACGACGCCAGGACAUCUGCCCAUCGACUUUAGGACUAGUGGUUCCCGACAUUUGGACACACAACAAAAUGUUGCUGAAUCCAAUUAGCAGAAUACUCGACCAGUACUCAGCGACGAAAAGACUUCCAGUUAAACGACGAGUGGACUCCCAGGCAAUCGACGUUCGAACUCCCGGGAACUCCUCAUCCAGCGACAAAAGGACUCCCAAUCCAGUGACGCACGGAUUUGCUUAUUUGUUGCAGCUGAAGGAUCGUUAAGAACAUAGGUAUUUUUAAUUGACUAUGAUUAUUGUAUAGAUAUUUGUGCUUACAUUUAUCGGCUGGAUAACUUAUUUAUUUUUAUUAUAGAAGAAAAGUUUAAUUACAAUUAUGUAAAUAUUGUACUCUGAAAUGGAACGAACAUGGGUAACCAUGUUUGUUCCAGUCAGACUUCUUUCCCUUCUUGCAUUCUGAAAUGGAACGAACAUGGGUAACCAUGUUUGUUCCACUCAGACUUUUGACCCUUCUUGUAUUCUGAAAUGGAACGAUCAUGGGUAACCAUGUUUGUUCCAGUCAGACUUCUGACCCUUCUUGUAUUCUGAAAUGGAACGAACAUGGGUAACCAUGUUUGUUCCAGUCAGACUUCAGAACACAAACAGAUUGUAGUUCAAAUGUUAAUGUAUUAAACAACAUAAAUACAAAAUUCUUCGUUCA